rnacentral:snRNA from 1 species
UAUUCACAGGGAAUACUUGGAACAGUAAAGAUUUGGCAUAGCCUCUGUGCAAGAAUGACAUGCAAAUUUAUGAAGCACUCCAUAUUUUU